UACGUAGGGUGCGAGCGUUGUCCGGAAUUAUUGGGCGUAAAGGGCUCGUAGGCGGUUGUCGCGUCGGGAGUGAAAACACCGGGCUUAACUCGGUGCUUGCUUUCGAUACGGGCAGACUAGAGGUAUGCAGGGGAGAACGGAAUUCCUGGUGUAGCGGUGAAAUGCGCAGGAUAUCAGGAGGAACACCGGUGGCGAAGGCGGUUCUCUGGGCAUUACCUGACGCUGAGGAGCGAAAGUGUGGGGAGCGAACAGG
rnacentral:rRNA from 1 species